GUAUAUAAGCUCGUUCGGGAAAGAGAAUUGCUUAACUCACUGAAACAAAAUAAUGGCGAUAAGAGCUUUUUUGAUGGUGAUGUUUAUGUACAUGGGUCUCGCAUUUGCGGGAACAAAAGGAGAAAGGAAAUGUCGAGAGCCCUUACCAACUCCACUUCCUUAAACAGGGAAAUGCCACAUGGAAAAUGACCCCUUAACGUGAAUCAACAAUUAUUAUCCCUAAGAACUCCAUGACUUUCUGAAAACGUCUGAUUAACUAGGAAACACAGACUGUCAUGAGCACAUUGUUAUUGGCAGGAGAACUUAUACCAAAAUUCUACAUUUGAAAGGAUCGUUAGAUAAAAUUCUACUGUGUAUGUU